AGCGAACGCUGGCGGCAGGCCUAACACAUGCAGGUCGAACGGAUCCUUCGGGAUUAGUGGCGGACGGGUGAGUAACACGUGGGAACGUGCCCUUUGGUUCGGAACAACUCAGGGAAACUUGAGCUAAUACCGGAUGUGCCCUUCGGGGGAAAGAUUUAUCGCCAUUGGAGCGGCCCGCGUCUGAUUAGCUAGUUGGUGAGGUAACGGCCCACCAAGGCGACGAUCAGUAGCUGGUCUGAGAGGAUGAUCAGCCACACUGGGACUGAGACACGGCCCAGACUCCUACGGGAGGCAGCAGUGGGGAAUCUUGCGCAAUGGGCGAAGGCCUGACGCAGCCAUGCCGCGUGAAUGAUGAAGGUCUUAGGAUUGUAAAAUUCUUUCAGCGGGGACGAUAAUGACGGUACCCGCAGAAGAAGCUCCGGCUAACUUCGUG
rnacentral:rRNA from 1 species